rnacentral:rRNA from 1 species
GCGCGCCUACCAUGCAAGUCGAGCGGUAGCACAAGAGCUUGCUCUCGUGACGAGCGGCGGACGGGGUGAGUAAUGUCUGGGAAACUGCCUGAUGGAGGGGGAUAACUCUGAAACGGUAGCUAAUACCCAUAACGUCCAGACCAAAAGGGGGACCUUCGGCCUCUUGCCAUCAUGUGCCCAAUGGGAUUAGCUAUAGGUGGGGUAACGCUCACCUAGCGACAAUCCCUACUGGUCUGAGAGGAUGACCACCACACUGAACUGAGACACGGUCCACACUCCUACGGGAGGCAGCAUGGGGAAUAUUGCACAAUGGGCGCAAGCCUGAUGCACCCAUGCCCGUGUAUGAAAAGCCUUCGGUUGUAAAGUACUUUCCGGGGAGGAAGCGAUAAGGUUAAUAACCUUGUCGAUUGACGUUCCCCAAAAAACACCGGCUAACUCCUGCCACACCCGGUAAUACAGGGUGCAAGCGUUAAUCAAUUCUGGGCGUAAAGCGCACGCAGCGGUCUGUCAAGUCGAUGUGAAAUCCCCGGGCUCACCUGGAACUGAUUCUAAACUGCAGGCUAUAGUCUUGUAAGGGGGUAGAAUUCCGUGUACGUGAAAUGCGUAAGAUCUGAGGAAUACCGUGGCGAAGCGGCCCCCUGACAAAACUGACCUCGUGCGAAAGCGUGGGAGCAAACAGAUUAAUACCCUGGUAGUCCACGCCGUAAACAUUCACUUGUAGGUUGUGCCCUUGAGGCGUGUCUUCCGGAGCUACCGUUAAUCACCCCUGGGAGUACGCCGCAAGGUUAAACUCUAAUGAAUUGACGGGGCCCCCACAACGGGUGGAGCAUGUGGUUUAUUCUAUGCCCGCGAAAAAACCUUCUACUCUUGACAUCAGAGAAUUUCCCAAAAUGAUUGUUGCCCUGGGAACUCUUAACAAGGCUGCAUGGCUGUCCUCACCUCCGUUUGAAAGUUGGGGUUAAAUCCCCCAAAGGCAACCCUUUUUUUUUUUUCCCCCGGUUUAGCCCGGGAA